UCGCAUUGUCGCUUCAUAUCCUCAACUGUCCGAAGUUCAUUGAGAAGAGACUCCGAUGGAUUUGUAAUUGUCAAAAAUAUAUGAGACCUAUAGCUAUCAACAAGUUUUUGAAGUUCAAACUGCACUUUCCCCAACAUCAACAAAACUCCGCCACUUUCUUCAUCAUCAUGUAAUGCAGUUUUCUCCAGCAGACAAGAACCCAUUUCCCGCAGUGACUCUGAGAAUUCAUAUGCACUAUUUGCCGUUGCA
rnacentral:misc_RNA from 1 species